GGAAUCUUAGACAAUGGGCGCAAGCCUGAUCCAGCCAUGCCGCGUGAAUGAUGAAGGCCUUAGGGUUGUAAAAUUCUUUCGCCCGGGAAGAUAAUGACUGUACCUGGAGCAGAAGCCCCGGCUAACUCCGUGCCAGCAGCCGCGGUAAUACGGAGGGGGCUAGCGUGGUUCGGAAUUACUGGGCGUAAAGCGGGUGUAGGCGGAUCUCUAAGUCGGGGGUGAAAGCCCAGGGCUCAACCCUGGAAUUGCCUUCGAUACUGGAGAUCUCGAGUCUAGGAGAGGUGAGCGGAAUUCCGGGGGUAGAGGUGAAAUUCGUAGAUAUUCGGAGGAACACCAGAGGCGAAGGCGGCUCACUGGACUAGUACUGACGCUGAGACCCGAAAGCGUGGGGAGCAAAC
rnacentral:rRNA from 1 species